UACAGAGGGUGCAAGCGUUGUUCGGAAUUACUGGGCGUAAAGCGCGUGUAGGCGGUUUUUCAAGUCCUGUGUGAAAGCCCUGGGCUCAACCCAGGAAGUGCGCAGGAUACUGGGAUGACUGGAGUGGCGGAGAGGAUGGCGGAAUUCCCGGUGUAGAGGUGAAAUUCGUAGAUAUCGGGAGGAACACCUGUGGCGAAGGCGGCCAUCUGGACGUUCACUGACGCUGAGACGCGAAAGCGUGGGUAGCAAACAGG
rnacentral:rRNA from 1 species